rnacentral:rRNA from 1 species
UUGAACGCUGGCGGCAUGCCUUACACAUGCAAGUCGAACGCGAAAGGGGGCAACCCUGAGUAGAGUGGCGAACGGGUGAGUAAUGUAUCGGAACGUACCCAGUAGUGGGGGAUAGCCCGGCGAAAGCCGGAUUAAUACCGCAUACGACCUACGGGUGAAAGCGGGGGAUCGCAAGACCUCGCGCUAUUGGAGCGGCCGAUAUCGGAUUAGCUAGUUGGUGGGGUAAAAGCCUACCAAGGCUACGAUCCGUAGCAGGUUUGAGAGAACGACCUGCCACACUGGGACUGAGACACGGCCCAGACUCCUACGGGAGGCAGCAGUGGGGAAUUUUGGACAAUGGGCGAAAGCCUGAUCCAGCCAUGCCGCGUGAGUGAAGAAGGCCUUCGGGUUGUAAAGCUCUUUCGGCCGGAACGAAAUCGCACUCGUGAAUAUCGAGUGUGGAUGACGGUACCGGAAGAAGAAGGACCGGCUAACUACGU